GAGUACAAGAGUACGUGAAACUGCUUAGAGGUUAAGCCCGAUGAACCUGAAUAUCCGUUAUGGAAAAUUCAUCACUAAUACUAUGAUAUUUAUAAUAUUAUAGAAAUGGUGUGCAAUUUUUCCAUAUAAGGACAUUGUAAUCUGUUAAUGUAUUAAAUAUUUAUUAAAAGAUCUUAUACUUAAGUUUAUUCAAAUUAGUUAUUUUCGGAUUUCUAACAUAGAAUAAAUGUAUUUGAUUUAAUAAAUCAUUGACAGAUUUUAUUAUAAUAUAGUGCUCAAAUUUUGAACGAAAUUUUACAAUAAUAUGAUAAUUCAAUUUGUUAUAUUUAUUGUAUGCGCUUAUAUGAUUAACAAUGCGAUAGAUUCAGGAUACCUUCGGGACCCGUCUUGAAACACGGACCAAGGAGUCUAACAUAUGUGCAAGUCAUUGGGUAUUUUUAAUAAAACCCAAUGGCAUAAUUAACUUAACUGUUUUUUAAAUGGGAUUAGUUUAUAUUUUAUUAUGAAAUAUUAAUUCAAUCCCGGGGCGUUCUAUAUAGUUAUGCAUAAUGAUAUUUAUAUUAUUUAUGUCUCUAACU
rnacentral:rRNA from 1 species